rnacentral:tRNA from 1 species
GGGGCGGAUGUAGCCAAGUGGAUUAAGGCAGUGGAUUUGUGAAUCC